CUUGGUUCAGGACGAACGCUGGCGGCGUGCCUAAUACAUGCAAGUCGAACGGUCUUUCUAUGGAAGCUUGCUUCCACUGAGAAGAUAGUGGCGAACGGGUGAGUAACACGUGGGUAACCUGCCCAUAAGAGGGGGAUAACAUCCGGAAACGGGUGCUAAUACCGCAUAGUUUUCUUGAUCGCAUGAUUGAGAAAGGAAAGACGGCCUUUGUGCUGUCGCUUAUGGAUGGACCCGCGGCGUAUUAGUUAGUUGGUGAGGUAACGGCUCACCAAGACGAUGAUACGUAGCCGACCUGAGAGGGUGAUCGGCCACAUUGGGACUGAGACACGGCCCAAACUCCUACGGGAGGCAGCAGUAGGGAAUCUUCCGCAAUGGACGAAAGUCUGACGGAGCAACGCCGCGUGAGUGAAGAAGGGUUCCUUCGGAUCGUAAAACUCUGUUGUCAGAGAAGAACAAGUUGGAGAGUAACUGCUCCAGCCUUGACGGUAUCUGACCAGAAAGCCACGGCUAACUACGUGCCAGCCGCAGC
rnacentral:rRNA from 1 species